GAAGCAUUAGCUUAAGUUAAAAGUAGGUGAUUUUUGAUCUCUUGAUGUUUGUACAUGUUUCA
rnacentral:tRNA from 1 species